rnacentral:sRNA from 1 species
AGUUCAGCUUCUUAGGACUCUGCACUUCCCCAGAAGGAAGAAUUAAAAAUGAAUAUGUUCAAGGAAGCAGUGACCUUCAAGGACGUGGCUGUGGCCUUCACGGAGGAGGAGUUGGGGCUGCUGGGCCCUGCCCAGAGGAAGCUGUACCGAGAUGUGAUGGUGGAGAACUUUAGGAACCUGCUGUCAGUGGGUGAGGACAGCCUCUCUCUGGAAUAUCUUUGUGCCCUUGGAGUUUUUAGGCUUUGUGGCCCUUGAAAUGGUUCCCUGAGUGUGGGAACCUGACUUUCCUAAUUUUUAUGGGAUGCAGAGACACUGGAUGUUUCUGGUCUUUCUGAACAGAAUAUUUUAGGUCUUUUUCAUUUGUGAUUUAUAGAAGAACUAUAAAUGAACAGAAUACUGCUAUGCCUUGUCUGUUCUUUUUCAUGUUUUACACCUGUCCCAAUAUUGAAUUAUAAAACCAAUUUAUUGAAUGCCACCAGCAGAUUUUAAUGAAAUAAAAUAGGGCAGAAAAUACUAGAACUCCUUAGGAAGAAUGGCACACACUGCAGCAAAAACUGGCCAGUUGUUUGAGUGAUGUGAGAACCAAUGGGAGAUUUAAUGAAAACAGACAUUAGUUAAAAAUAGGUUAUUCAGACUUGGUUUUCAUAAUAUGUAUUUACGCAUGUGUGUCUGGGUCAUGAAAUAAAUGGUGUUUCUUUACUGAGUCACGAUUUAAAUAAAAGUUUGAAAAA